UAGUCAAUAAGCGCGAGGAAAAGAAACCAACAGGGAGUGCAAUAGUAGCGGCGAGUGAACAGGCAAUGAGCUCAGAUUCCAAAGCCCUCGGGCAUUGUAUUCUGAAGCCUUGGGCCUGAGAAUCGGUGUUUAAGUCUUCUGGAAAGGAGCGCCAUGGAGGGUGAUAGCCCCGUACGACACCACUCUCAUUGUAGGACUUUGGCAUGGAGUCGAGUUGUUUGGGAAUGCAGCUCAAAUGGGUGGUAUGCUCCAUCUAAAGCUAAAUAUCUGCGAGAGACCGAUAGCGAACAAGUACUGUGAAGGAAAGAUGAAAAGAACUUUGAAAAGAGAGUGAAAAAGUACGUGAAAUUGUUGAAAUGGAAGGAUAGGCCGCUAACCAUGUAGGGUCGUGUUCGAGGGGAAGAUAAAAGCUGAAGAAUUGUAAAUCCUCGGAGUGUUAUAGCUGCAGUCCAUAGGCUUCACAAGCACUCGGACCAGCGUAGGAUAGGAGAGACUCUGCUAAAUGGUGAGAAACG
rnacentral:rRNA from 1 species